AAUAAAGCAUAAAUAGGGCUCUCUUUACAGGAAGUGUUUAUGGAAGGCUGUGCAAGUCACAUGCAGGGAGGUGUGACUAGGGUUCAUAAACAAAGGGAUUUAACUCCUAAAUGGCAGAGGAUUGAGCAGCGAGGCUGCAGGGGCAUGUUCUAUACACCAAAACUGCUUCAUUAAGCUAAAGUUGUUCAGGUGACUAUAGUGUCCCUUUAAUG